AGAAAAGUCUAAUAGAUGUGCGAACUGUAACCAAGUGGUUCCUCCUGGGAAUAAUUUGUGCAAAGCUUGCCUGGCGGAAGCAGCUUAUGAAUGGGAAAAGAAAAGUUCCCCACAGGCUGAUUUUAAAAAAUGGAUAUCAGAAGCUAUUGCAGAAGGCUUCAAAUCGUCAAAUAAAAUGAUUACCUCUAAGCGUCCUAGAGUGGAGAGUUAUGUAGAAUCGGAAGAAGAUUCUGACUUAAUGGAAGAAUUUUCAGAGUUUGAAGAGGAAGAUAGUUGUUCAAGAUCCCUGGAUUCCAGGGCUGUGGAUAAAUUGGUUUAUCUUAUCAGAGAAACCUUAAGAAUCCAUGAAGAAAGUACAGAAAAGAAGGAAUCUGACAGAUAUUUCGAAGAUCUGAAGUCCAACAGGCCCUCCUUUCUGGUCCACACUGCUAUUAAGGAGGUCAUCCAGGAAGAAUGGAUUAGACCAGAGAGAAAGGUUACAUUAAAAAAUAAAACUCCCAGAUUAUAUCCGUAUGCUCUAGAAGACUGCAAAUCGUGGAUUUCUGUUCCAAAAAUUGAUGCGGUAGUGAUCCAUAUGGCAAAAAGAACGACUCUUCCCAUAGACUCCAUGGCAUACUUAAGAGAGCCUAUGGAAAAGCGAUUGGACGCUAACCUUAUCAAAGCAUACCUGGCUCUGGGAUCAGCAUUACAUCCCGCUAUUGCCCUAACCACCUUGUCCAGGGCACUCAAAAUUUGGAUAGAUAAUUUAGAAGAGGAUAUUAAUAGAGGAGUCCGUAGAAAACACCUGAUGGAGGGCCUUAAGGAUUUAAAAUUAGCCACAGAAUUUUGUUCUGAACUUCACUGGAUGUUACCAAGAUGGUAGCAAAAAGUAUGGCAUUGUCGGUAGCAUCCAGGAGAGCAUUAUGGCUUCACUCCUGGGGGGCAGAUUAUGCUUCUAAGGCUUCCCUAUGUGCGCUCCCCUUUCAAGGUGACCUGCUUUUUGGUAAAGUCUUAGAAGAUGCAAUUCAUAAAGCAGCGGAUGGGAGAAAAGCUUUUCUUCCACAAGGGAAAAGAAGAUUUAGUGCAUCUUACUGGAAAGAUAAAAAAUUCAGAGACCGAUCCUUUCGAGAUAGCAGAACAUAUAGACCCGGGAAAGAAUACAGAAAUUCUAACUGCAUCACACUUCCCGCAGAGGAAUUCCUAUCAUUAGAAUCACAAUUCGCGUUCCACUGGUGCCACGGCAGGAUGAAAUAUCUAGGCGUAUGGGUGACCACGAACCCAAGAGAUAUAUUGCGACAUAAUUUUACACCCCUAUUGAAGACUGUUCUCGCAGACUUAUCCAAAUGGUCGUACCCACAUGUGACCUGGCACAGAAGAAUCGCUGUGAUUAAGAUGAAUAUCCUCCCGCGGAUUCUGUAUCUCAUGCAGACCAUACCACUCGCUAUACCAGUGACCUUUUUUUCCGCCCUGAAAACGGCAGUAACUAGAUUUGUGUGGCGUGUGGAACGAGCAAGGAUUCGGCAUGACAUACUGUGCCGUCCAAAAAAUUACGGAGGGCUGGUCCUGCCAGACUUUCAGAAAUAUCACCAAGCCACGGUCAUGCAACGCAUAUUAGACUGGCACCUGGAACCGACGGCCAAACAAUGGGUGAAACUCGACAGGGACCUCAUCGGACCAACACUAGAGGCACAGGUCUGGGGUAAAACUGGAGGUCGAACAAACCAUAGCGACGAUGAGGGGCUGGUCCUACAGACCCUACACACUUGGAAGGUACUCAGGCUGCAGACACAUAUCACCCACGCCCAGCCCGAUGAUGCCGACCACGCAUAACGAGGCCAUAGGGGGUGGACUCCCCUCCGGUGCGUGGCCCAUCCCAAGUACCGGAACAUAUAUUCCCAUACAUAAGGCCCUGGCAGAUGGGAAACUGCGAGAUUUAACCUCAUUACUGGGAGAGGGACCACGAACUCCCCUCUCACUACUUAGAUACCUGCAACUGAAACAUUUCUAUGACACUCUGUUACACAAGGACCUCUUACAUAGAGACCUCACAUGGUUUGAAACCCUCUGCGAGCAAGGCACGCCUAUUGAACACGCUAUUUCCGCUCUCUAUCAACAUCUGAUGAUCGGCGGCACACCUACAGCCGCCACAUUCAAACGUCAAUGGGAGGACCAACUUGGAAGACAACUUACAACCCAAUAAUGGGACAAAGCGAUGAUAUGGCACCAUAAGAGUUCCAUGUGCUCCUCUUAUCAGGAAAUGAAUUACAAAUUGCUCUCCCUAUGGUACAGGACACUGUCCCUUUUGCACUGUAUCUUCCCAUCAAUCUCCCCAGUGUGCUGGAGAUGCCAGGCAGAACACGGCACAGUGCUACACAUAUAGUGGGAGUGCAGGGACAUCAUCCCGUAUUGGGAAAUGAUCAGGGACACAGUGACACAUAUCAUGGGAGACAUACCGGAGUGGAACGCAGAAUUGGCCCUACUACACAUCUCGACACAGCCCAUACCGUCGUAUAAGAAAUCUAUACUACGACACUUGCUUAAUGCGGCUAAAGCCAACAUACCAGCUCUCUGGAAAACGAGUGAAACACCCACCAAAAAGGAAUGGAUUCGCAGAGUAGAAGAUAUUCAGGGAGCGGAGGAAACACAUGCAUCUCUGUCGGGACGAGGAACUACACACGCCGAGAUGUGGAUGCCGUGGUUCUUAUACAUCACCCGCUACCGGCGAGAUGGGGACGCACCUGUCGCCGGGAUGGGGAUGGCAGGGGACAUGGCUACCACUUAACUUAGAUCAUAACCCCUACCCCUUUACUGCUCAUUUUCUCCUGCCUUUACUUUCUCCCUUAACCCCUCUUGCUGGGCCCCCGGGAUCUGGGGAGCUGGAUACCGGACUCAGUUGGGCUAAUCCCAGGAUGAACACUCGAUAUAAAAUGAACAGGGGAGGACAUGCACAAUACACUACGGACAGAGAAUGGGAGUUGUCAAAAGACAGGAAUGCCCGCCAGCUGCCACGGACCUCGGACACCCCGGGACCCGGCAGCCGGGUACCUCGAACUUACGAAAACACACAAACUGUAGACAAAGUACCUCCUAACAAACUCACACACCGCGCAAGACAACCACCUUAGAUUGCUCGCAACGAUCUCACACAUAGUACCUGAUAAUAAAGGACAGCACGCUUUGGGGGCGGCGAACUGAGACCAAGGCAACGCUCGAGCUCCGUUAUAAGUAACUCCGAUAAUGAGCCAGCUCAAAUAGUCAUAAAGAGGAGCAAACUGCUGAUUCCCUCGAGAUAGAGUCACUGAUAGAGGCCAUCGACCUUCAGUCGAUAAGCAUGGUAAGGGAUAAGCUCGUACUCCGCAGAGGUGACCCCACACUGGAAAGCGGGAGUCUCAACUACUCACGCCUUCACGCAACACCACCGCUGUUUUAGAAAUGAAACCCACCUAAUUAUACAUAGACCUAGUACUAUUUUCUCUAACACGUAGGGAUGCAGGAACCUCUGACUCAAGGAAUAUGUUUGCAGCGCCACGACACCUCCCAACUACCCAUAGGCGAACUCCCAUAGAUUAUGGGAUGUAGUGUUACUGGGGUGGACUCAAAGUCAUGCAGGGACACCCUUUUAUGGCCACUAGCAUGGAGGGAAACUACAUAUCUAUACAUGAUCAUGGUAACGGAACCGGACCAGCGAGUUCUACCCCCUAAAUAGGCUUACGAGAUGACAACCCUAAACUUUACACUUUCAUGGUUUAUAUUUGUUUUCAACUGUAAUAAUUGCUUCCUAUCCUGUUGCUCCAUACCUACUGUGUUAACCGUAAGGAUCUGCGUAUCCAUAACCAUGCUUCAUUAUAUCACAAAUAAAUAAAAACAUAUUUAAAAAAAAGAAAAAAAAGAAAUUCUAACUGGAGAAGCUAUCAGACCUCUACAUAUAAACCUGUUAGAGGAAGAGGAUCUCGACCACCCACCAAAAACUUCUGAACGUUUGCUGGCCCAGCCAGAUGUUAUAGGAGGCAGACUUCUCUUCUUUUAUCCGGUUUGGGACAAGAAUAUUCAAGAUUCUUGGGUUCUGUCUAUUCUACUGGAAGGAUACAAGAUAGAAUUCAAGGAAUUCCCUUAUCAAAAUUCUUUCAUUCGUUCAAGAGUUUCAAAAGGAAGAAAAGAAAUCGCUCUGAACAACAUAAUUUCCCAGCUGCUGCAGAACCAGGUUAUAGAAAAAGUUCCUUACAGAGAGCAUUUCAGCGGCCAUUAUUCCACUAUAUUUCUGGCCCCAAAACCCAAGGGAAAAUGGCGUCUAAUUCUGGAUCUAAAAGGUCUGAAUACAAAAUUGAUGACAAGAACAUUCAAGAUGGAGUCUAUUACCACUAUCCUGCCCAAUAUAAAGCCGGGGAACUGGAUGACAUCUAUCGAUCUCAAAGAUGCCUAUUAUCAAAUACCUAUUCACGACAGUCAUCGCAGGUUCCUGAGGUUCUGGAUUUCGGGGAAUCACUACCAGUUCAAGGGACUUCCCUUCGGAUUGAGUUUGGCCCCCAGAACAUUCUCAAAGAUCCUUAUUUCCCUGGUGGCCUUUAUAAGGACAAAGAACAUCGAGCUUUAUCAUUAUCUGGAUGGUUUUUAAUCAUAGGCCCAUCCAGACAAAUUGUGAAUCUCCACACAAGAAUUACCAUCACAUACCUUCAAGAGCAUGGUUGGUUGAUAAAUCCCAAAAAGACUUCUUUGGUUCCUUCACAGAGGAUGAUAUUCCUGGGAGCAAAUAUAGAUUCGGAGAAAGGCCUGAUAUCUCUAUCUACAGAAAGAAAGGAGCGAAUCGUGAAGAAAAUCAGAGGACUGCGUCAGAAAUCCUACAUCUCAGCAAGAGAAUUUAUGAGCCUAGUGGGGUCUCUUACUUCCACGAUAGGCCUAGUGAAAUGGGCCCAAUAGAAGAUACGACUAGAAGGGGUUUUAACCCCUUCAGCCCAGCAGGAGGGGGGCCAUAAUUGUGGGGGGACCUAAGGACUACAUAGUGCCAGGGAAACGAGUUUGUUUUCCUGACACUAUAGUGGUCCUUUAAAUUGUUUAACACAUAGAGACUGUUGAAUGAGUUUCACAGAUGUAAGUUGUCAACUCCUGUAGUAAAGAUAAUGCAAUAUAUUCGGUGCAAUGGUUUCCACUUCAUUAAACAACUUCAGAAUCAGGAAAGGCUUUACAGCAUGAUCAUGGGUGUGUACUAUCCUCCGCAAGCCUGCUGUUGUAUGAACAGUACCACGUUUGUCUUCCAUAAAUAACUCUUUAUCUAUACUUCCCAUUGUUUUCUGCAUGAGCUUGGGGUUGUUUUUUUUCUUAAGAAUCCUUAUUCGCAGAAUCUGGUUUAUAUGGGGAACUAGGGUCUCAUCAAAUAUUUGACAGCUCUGUCACUUUGCAAUUUUUGUUUUUAACUUUUUUUUUGUCCCUUUCUUUCUCUUUUUUUUAAUUCACCUUUGAUUAUCAGUUAUACAGAAAAAGACAUAGGGACCAAUGCUGAUCACAGUUUAAUACACACUUACUGGAGAGAAUCUCCAUUUGUGUGGGAUUAGAUCCUUAGGGUGAUAAGAGAUCUGCUAUUUUAAGGAACUCAUUCUUGCAGCCAUUGACAACCACCCAACACUAUGUUGAUACAAGGUUUUUAUUGGACACUCUGGCUCUCCGAGCGGUCUGUAGCCUCAGGGGAGCAGGCAAAGUGGGAUAUUGAUUCCCCUUUAUGUUUUACAUUUGGCCAACUCCUAGAGGUUGGACUCUAACUUGAACUGGUCUCCCGUGCCCUCUUCUUCUGUCUUCUAUUCUUAUGUUUCUACACUCAGCUUCCCUCUGCCUUCUGUUCUCCUCCUCUUUCCCUUUUGUCAUGUGGCUUCAUUCUCUCUUCUUCUCAUUUAGGUUUGCAGUGGCUGGCUAUGGCCACUCACAUUAACUGACGUCCUCCUGGCACUGAUAGUGUUCUGCAGCCUGAAUGGAAAUUUAUUCUAUACGAUGGUCCUUGUUGCUGGAUCAUAGUUUCUGUUAUGUUUGUUUCAUGCCAGCCUAACCUCGUUUACCAUUAAUUACUAUUCAGGCAACUUAAAUGCCUUGUGAUUUUGUGAAAUAUCUUUUUGUUAAUUGGUAGCAAAACUGCACAGUUCUUUACGCCUGUAUAUCUGUACCUCAGUGGACUUAAUAAAGGCUUAACGUCAUUAACUCAAUGAAGGCUGAAUGAUAAAAUAAAGACACAGGGACUACCUUUUCUUUUAGGGAAUAUAAUCUUUGGCAAAAACAUCUUAAAGGAACACUAUAGUGUCAGGAAUACAAAUGUAUUCCUAAUACUAUUAUAGCUGUUUAGGCCACUGGCCCUUCCUCACCUCCACUUAAAAAGGUGGGUGGAUCUGGUCACCACUGGCUCCAUCCACACUCCGGCCCCUUGGCAGAGAUCAAACUUGAUAUCAGCCAAUCUAAUGCUUUUUUCAAGCAAAGCAUUGUAAAGUUAUUGUGCAUUCACAGUAAAACGUCAUGCUGUCGGCAUCUCCUAAUAAUGAAUCUCUAUGGGGAAAGUUUUGUGCCUCCAAGCAGAGUGUGGAGAUGCUGAACGUCAGUGCUGCACACCCAGAAGCACCUCUAGUGGCAGUAAUGUAAACACUACAUUUUCUAUGAAACGGCAGUGUUUACAUUAAAAUGCCUGCAGGAACAGGAAAUAUACACAAGAACAACCACAUUAUGGUGUAGUUGUUCUGGUGACUAUAGUGUCCCUUUAAGCAAAGUUCCAUGUCUAGACUGUAAGCACUUUUGAAUGGGGCCCUCAGCAACCUAUUGUUCCUGUAACUUUUGUAAUUCUCAUUUAUUGUUAAAUUUCCUCCUUUAUGGUAUUUUAAUGUGCUGCAGAAUACGUUGGUGCUAAAUAAAUGCCAAUAUUAAUAAUAAUAAUAAUAGCAGUUGCUAAUCUAAUUUACCCAUAAUCCAUUAGUUUAAAAAAAACUGCAGACUUCAUGGAGAGAGGAGAACAAAAUGGAAAUGCCUGGGUCUUAAGAUCCAGGGAAGAAAAGAAAACUAACUAAAGGCAAGUGACAAAGAGCUAAGUAUAAUAAUUAAGAUACAAGAGACAUAAGGAAAGGAAAACGGAAAGACAAAUAAAUAGGACAGGGCCGCUUUAGUAUCCUACAUGUGGGGGUGCAGGACCUGACUGCCAUGUCAGAGAGAUGUGUUUGAGGAUAGCUUAUUAUGUCAGCCCUAUUUUAGCACUCCAACUGCUAACCUAACUUGCAGUGCCGAUCUCUUGCUUCAGUUUUUACUUCCACUAGUUGAUACAUGGCAGGUAAUACAAGAUGGACCUGCGGGGGUUAUCCUGGUCUCCAGAAGUGCAGUUCACUUACGCUCAUUACUGGGCCUUAAACAAGCUGAACACUCAACAUACCACAAGCAACUUAAGAUGGCAUCAGUACAGACCUUAAAUGGAGGUGAUCCGGCAGAGGUGGUAGAAAGCUUUCAAUGCCAUUUGUGAUCAUUUCUGGCACAAACUGGAGAGGAGGGUACAUUAUCCCCCCCCCCCUUUAUUUUCAGUUCAGCUGGCUUCUAUGCUGCUUUGGUCCGUCGUUCGCCUCCUGGGUUGGGAACUGAAAGGAGGUUUAUCCUUGCACAAGGUCAAUAUUCGAGGGGUUAUUUGUAAAAUGGGACAGACAUGGGACAAUGCUCUAUGCAAACAGUGUGAAGGUGUAAUCAGAUAGUCUGUGAUGGUUCCAAUCCAGACCUGGGAGUGUGAGGUCUGGGGGCACAGAUGUGCCUAAAAUGCUGGACAGAGUCAAGUCUGCCCAUAUAUCUUCCCCUGCCUGGGCACACAGUGACAAACAGAUACCUCCUACUAGAUGCUAAGAGGCUAUGCUAAAACAGCAUUUUUGAUUUUACUGUUGAAUUAUCUUUUAUGUCCAUCUUUAUUCCUUUCUUUUCUAUGUUCUAAUCCAGUACAUGCAUUAUAUAUAAGUUGUGCAUACCUGGUGGAAUCCUAUCAUUGCCAAAAGUAGUAUACGUGUAUGAAUCUCUCAUGACAUAUGCAAUGUUGGUAUAGUUUAAUUGCGAUCGACUACGGAGUGUUUUUUUCUUGUGUUUUGUAGUCUACCCUGUGACAUAGCAUUUAUAGACUGUAAAAAGUCUAUGCAUAUACGCUGCUACUUAUGACCACAACACUAAACAAAAACACAUUUUGUUCCUCUGGUUUUGUUGGAGGCUGUGGACAUGGGAUGGAUAUAAAAAUAAAUAAUAUGGAAUUAAAACAAAAAAGGCAUUCUUCUAUCAGUAGCACUUAUCGCAUAGUGAUUUCCUGUUGUAUGGUCCCUUUCAAAGUAAGAGGAUUGACACAGUAGUUAAAAGAAACAAUCCAAGCACAAUAACCACUUCAACAUGCAGUCCCCUCUCAAUGUAAGUAGUCAAAUCGUUUGACUUUUUACCCGUGGUCCACUCCCCCCACCACACUAAAAAAAAAUUUGAAAGAUUGGAGCUUGUGAAAAU